AGUGAACGCUGGCGGUAGGCCUAACACAUGCAAGUCGAACGGCAGCACAGUAAGAGCUUGCUCUUACGGGUGGCGAGUGGCGGACGGGUGAGGAAUACAUCGGAAUCUACUUUUUCGUGGGGGAUAACGUAGGGAAACUUACGCUAAUACCGCAUACGACCUACGGGUGAAAGCAGGGGAUCUUCGGACCUUGCGCGAUUGAAUGAGCCGAUGUCGGAUUAGUUAGUUGGCGGGGUAAAGGCCCACCAAGGCGACGAUCCGUAGCUGGUCUGAGAGGAUGAUCAGCCACACUGGAACUGAGACACGGUCCAGACUCCUACGGGAGGCAGCAGUGGGGAAUAUUGGACAAUGGGCGCAAGCCUGAUCCAGCCAUACCGCGUGGGUGAAGAAGGCCUUCGGGUUGUAAAGCCCUUUUGUCGGGAAAGAAAAGUAGCAGGUUAAUACCCCGCUGUUCUGACGGUACCCAAAGAAUAAGCACCGGCUAACUUCGUG
rnacentral:rRNA from 1 species